CUUCUAUAGGACCUUUCGUGGUUGUGUUGGUGAAGGUAGACUUCAGGAAAGUGCUUCAAGAGUUCCUCCCGUUACCGGACGAUCUGCAACCACGGCACUCGAGAUGCAGGACAUUGACUACUGGUGCCUGUUUGCCUUUGGUGGACCAUAUGAUUGGAGCCCGCUCGUCUACCAGGCAGUGGGAGCAAGACUGCGUGAAGACAUCACCCGUGAGCAUUGUACGGGAUAGUGGAGUGCGUUACGUCUGCCUGUCUUAUUCAUCAUGAUCACGUCGCUGAAGCAGCGAGACGUGUGUACCGUGCGACGGUAAGACUAGUCUCGAUGUAUGCACUGAC